AAAGUAUCGAUGUGUAAUAUAGAAACUAACAUCAAAAAUUAUUUUUAUAAUAAAGUAUUUCAAAGGGGUUAUUAAGGAGAAAUUGGCAAAUUUAUAAGAUAAGGAGGGGUAAACCCAAAAGCUACAUACUCAAGUGGCAAUCCUAAGGGAAACCUUUUAUAUAAUACUUCCUGAAGUAAAUCAUUUCAGUAAGGAAAGGAAAGGAAAUCAACCGAGACUCCGAAAGUAACGGCGAGUGAAAUCGGACUAGCCUAAAAUAUCAAUAACAGUGAAAAAAAGCUUAGUUAGUGGCUCUCGUACACGUUGAACGAGAACGAGGCCUUAGGCUAAGCUAAACCAAAGAAGGUGUAAACCAUAGUCCUGUAGCUUUUGUUGAUAUUUUUAAAAUAAACUACGACGAGAGAAAACUUGUUGGAAUAAAGGGGAACCAUCCUCUAAGGCUAAGUAUUAUAAAUUUAGCGAUAGUGAAAAGUACUGUAAAGGAAAAUUUGAAAGAGAGGUCAAUAAGACUAGUGAAAUAGAUAAGAACUCGAAUUAGUAACUCUAUAAGCAGCCGAAAUUAAUAUAUAAACAAUGACGGCGUACCUUUUGCAUAAUGGGUCAGCAAGUUAAUAGAAAUAGCAAGGUUAAAAGCCUUAGCGAAAGCGACUACACUUAUUUAGGGAAGUAAAAUUUUAUUUUAUAAUAUAUUUUGAUUAAUUUAUUAAUUGAAAAAGAGUAGCACCUUAAAUUAAAUAAUCUUUUUAUAUUAAUUUAAGUUGUUAUUUGCUAAACAAUAGUGUUGGGAUAGUUAUUUCUAUUAGACCCGAAGCUAGAUGAUCUUUCCAGGGCCAGAUUAUUAAGGAUCGAACGGGUGAAUGUUGCAGAAUUCUCCGAUGAGCUCUGGAAAGCGGUGAAAUGCCAAUCUAAUCUAGUGCUAGCUGGUAUUCUUCGAAACAUAUGUAAGUAUGACAUCUAAUAAAGAUUUAUGGUGGUACAGCACUGAAUUGCGAACAAGGGUAAUAAUAUUUAUUAUUAUCAAGCGUUUAGGUUGAGGGGAUAUAAAAAUCUUACCAAUGGAAGCUAAUCUCGAAAUGACAUAAAUUGAAGUUAGAUAUUCAGACUACUCCUGAUAAGUUGGGUAGUCAAGACGAAAACAGUCGAGAACACGUUUUAAGGUCCCAAAUGAUUAUUAAGUGAAAUUAAGGAUGUCAUAUAUUGUAUGCAGCUGAAAAGUGAGCCUGGUAGUCGCUACUUUUAAUGAACGUUGUAACAACGCAUCAGCUCUUAUUUUUCUGUUCUAUUAGAAUUAGAAAGGUAAAGAAUAUGGCGCCGAAAAUUUAACGGGUCUAAAUAAUCAACCGAUAUCGUGUUGGUUAAGAAAAUUAUCUUUUCUUAAUCUAGGUAGAAGAACAUUCAGAAACGGUAGAUGUACAGUGUUUCAUUGUAUAGACGAACUGAAGAGAGAAUGCUGACAUGAGUAACGUAAAAAGAAGUUAUAAUACUUCUCGCCGAAUACGAAAGGGUUGUAAUGAUAGUAAAACAUCUUACGUUAAAUGCGGUCUCUAAGGUCUAGAACCAAAGUUCUAACUGAUGAGUAAGUGAUAAAAUGUCCUAUAGGAAGAUUGGAUCAAGAAAAAUAAUCACUUCCGAAGAGUUUAAACUAAAAAUAAACUCUAAUUUAAGUUAUAUGUUAAAUUAUUAAUGGAGCCUCUCUAUUUACUCUAAAGGUAGAUGGAGAGAAUUGGAGAUUAAUAAUGAUUUAACUUAUCUAAAGGAACUACCGUACCCUAAACCGACACAGGUUCGUAGGUAGAGAAUACUAAGGCGUGGAGCUAAAAGUUGUAAAGGAACUCGGCAAGUUUUCCUCAUAUGUUAGACGAUAAGAGGAACCAGAGAAUCACAUUAUAGCUUUCGAUGUAAUACUUUAAGUAUUGCUACUUAGCUUCAAGCUAGCUUCAAGCUUGCUUCAAGCAAGGAAACGAUUAUUAUUCCCUUAAUCUUUUAAAAUUUAGUUCAAACUAAAUAUAAAAAGGUUGUAACAGUAAUAAGCCAGCCAUGGUAAACUAGUGGAAUUUAUUCCAUUUAUUUGUAUAAUCUGGUGUCACAGAAUCGGAGGCCUCGACUGUUUACUAAAAACACAAGAAUGUGCAAUGAAAAAAAUCAUAGUAUACGUUCUGAAAUUUGCUCGAUGCCAUUAACAUAAGAAAGGUAAUAGGUAACUGUUACUGAUUGAAAGUCUGGUUAAUAGCGGUCUUAACUAUGAGGAUCCAAAGGUAGCGUAAUCCAUUGGCCAUUAAAUGUGGUCCGGCAUCAAUAAUGUAACGAAGGUCUCACUGUCUCUACAACUUGCUCAGUGAAAUUGAAUUACCCGUGCAGAUGCGGGUUACCCCCAGUGGGACGGGAAGACCCUAUGCAGCUUUACUGUAGUUAGUUAUAACACUGAUCUAGAACAAUCUCAAUCAAUAGUGAUUAGGUAGUCGUUAGACGAAAAACUUUUGCUUUUCUAAAAAUAAUCUAAUUUAGAUUAAGAUAAGUAAAGGGAGUGGAAACCUCCAGAAUGAGAUUGGGUCAGAGUUUACCUAAUUAAUUUAAAUUAAUAGGAAGAAUUGACUAAUUGGCAGUUUGACUGGGGCGGUCGUCUUUUAUAAAGUAGCAAAGUACAUCCAAAUAUUUAACUUGAUAUAUUAGUUACUCCUUAUUCCGCAAUCAACCAGUGAGGGUAGGGAAUGACUAAUUUUUAAAAUUUAAUUUUUAAUUAAAGGUAUAGCUAGAAAUCGAAUGGAGAUCAAUCAACCAGUGUAAAGGUUGCGCAUAGUGUAAUGGCGGUAAGCAUACCUAACUGAGAGACUUAAAAGUCGACCAGAUACGUAAGUAGGGCAUAGUGACCCCUCGCUAUAAUAUGGAAUAGACGGGGAUCAAUUGAUAAAAGUUACGCUAGGGAUAACAGGCUGAUAGCCGGCGAGAGUACACAUUGUCCCGGCUGUUUGGCACCUCGAUGUCGAUUCAUCCUAUCCUCCGGGGGAAGAAGCUUGGAAGGGUUGGACUGUUCGUCCAUUAAAAGGGUACGUGAAUUGGGUUUAAUACGACGUGAGUCAGUAUGGUCCCUAUCUUCUGGGGGAACAAUUAGUAAAAAGGGGAAGACCUUCUAGUACGAAAGGAUCAAUAGGCUGUGUUUCAAUAGUGUACCAAUUGUUGAAAUCAAAAUAAUAUAUAAACCUUAAAAGCUCUCUUUGUUUUAACUUUUUUGGUUUGGUCUCAAACAUUUAUUUUUAAAGAUAAAGCGCUUGAGGCUAAUAAGUUUAGCUUGCGUAGCUUACGCUCAGCGACAAUUUAUUAUUAUAUUUCUUUGGUGUGGUAAUAGUUUAGUCACUAAACUAACCAUAU
rnacentral:rRNA from 1 species